GUUUCGGUGGUGUAGUGGCUAUCACGCUUGUCUCACAUGCCCUGUGGGUUCACAAGAGGUCCCGAGUUCGAUCCUCGGCCGAAACA
rnacentral:tRNA from 1 species